rnacentral:rRNA from 1 species
CCUACGGGAGGCAGCAGUGGGGAAUAUUGCGCAAUGGGCGAAAGCCUGACGCAGCGACGCCGCGUGAGGGAUGAAGGCCUUCGGGUUGUAAACCUCUUUCAGCAGGGACGAAAAUCAGACGGUACCUGCAGAAGAAGCACCGGCCAACUACGUGCCAGCAGCCGCGGUAAUACGUAGGGUGCAAGCGUUGUCCGGAAUUAUUGGGCGUAAAGAGCUCGUAGGCGGUUUGUCGCGUCGGCUGUGAAAACUCGGGGCUNAACCCCGAGCCUGCAGUCGAUCGGGCAG